rnacentral:rRNA from 1 species
CCUACGGGGGGCUGCAGUGAGGAAUAUUGGUCAAUGGACGAGAGUCUGAACCAGCCAAGUAGCGUGAAGGAUGACUGCUCUAUGGGUUGUAAACUUCUUUUAUAUGGGAAUAAAAUGUUCCACGUGUGGGAUUUUGUAUGUACCAUAUGAAUAAGGAUCGGCUAACUCCGUGCCAGCAGCCGCGGUAAUACGGAGGGUCCGAGCGUUAUCCGGAUUUAUUGGGUUUAAAGGGAGCGUAGGUGGAUUGUUAAGUCAGUUGUGAAAGUUUGCGGCUCAACCGUAAAAUUGCAGUUGAAACUGGCAGUCUUGAGUACAGUAGAGGUGGGCGGAAUUCGUGGUGUAGCGGUGAAAUGCUUAGAUAUCACGAAGAACUCCGAUUGCGAAGGCAGUUCACUGGACUGCAACUGACACUGAGGCUCGAAAGUGUGGGUAUCAAACAGGAUUAGAUACCCCUGUAGUC